UACGUAGGGUGCGAGCGUUGUCCGGAAUUACUGGGCGUAAAGAGCUCGUAGGUGGUUUGUCGCGUUGUUCGUGAAAUCCCACGGCUUAACUGUGGGCGUGCGGGCGAUACGGGCAGACUGGAGUACUGCAGGGGAGACUGGAAUUCCUGGUGUAGCGGUGGAAUGCGCAGAUAUCAGGAGGAACACCGGUGGCGAAGGCGGAUCUCUGGGCCUGUCCUGACGCUCAGGCGCGAAAGCUAGGGGAGCAAACAGG
rnacentral:rRNA from 1 species